UUAUAAGACUGAGUUCGUAAGACCUCGGCCAGGGCAGAUUGCACAGUAGAGAAAGAGUUCUCCGCUCUCGAAAUUAAGUCGAAUAAAUCUUGACAUAUGACAGACGAAGGGGUUUGACGAGUUAUCCAUGACAUCCGUCUUGUAGGGAUCCACGAUAGAAGGACUGUAUCACAUUAUAACUGCACCUAGAGGUUCAUCAUUCUAUUCUACUGGGUAGCUACUACAUGCUGCUAGGUGUCACUGGUGGAUGGUGGGACUCAUAG
rnacentral:lncRNA from 1 species